rnacentral:rRNA from 1 species
CGCACGGGUGAGUAACACGUAGAUAACCUACCCUUUAGUUUGGGAUAACUUUCUGAAAAGGAGGCUAAUACCGAAUAACACUAGAAAUCGAGUGGUUUUUAGUUGAAAGAUUUAUCGCUAGGGGAUGGGUCUGCGUACCAUUAGCUUGUUGGUAGGGUAAAGGCUUACCAAGGCUUCGAUGGUUAGCGGGUCUGAGAGGAUGAUCCGCCACACUGGAACUGAGACACGGUCCAGACUCC